rnacentral:rRNA from 1 species
CAGGGGGUGUUCACUCGUGUUGUGAAAUGUUGGGUUAAGUCCCGCAACGAGCGCAACCCUUAUCCUUUGUUGCCAGCGGUUCGGCCGGGAACUCAAAGGAGACUGCCAGUGAUAAACUGGAGGAAGGUGGGGAUGACGUCAAGUCAUCAUGGCCCUUACGAGUAGGGCUACACACGUGCUACAAUGGCGUAUACAAAGAGAAGCGACCUCGCGAGAGCAAGCGGACCUCAUAAAGUACGUCGUAGUCCGGAUUGGAGUCUGCAACUCGACUCCAUGAAGUCGGAAUCGCUAGUAAUCGUAGAUCAGAAUGCUACGGUGAAUACGUUCCCGGGCCUUGUACACACCGCCCGUCACACCAUGGGAGUGGGUUGCAAAAGAAGUAGGUAGCUUAACCUUCGGGAGGGCGCUUACCACA